AGCAGAACUAUCAUGUAAUUUUCCGGUGAUGGUACAAUGAACUCAAAAGGAAUACAGAGAAUGAAACAGCAAAUAGAUUACACAUUUUGUGAGCAUUUCUCAAUAGAAGAUGUUAAGUUGGCAGAAAAUAGUAUUUUAAGCUUACUACAUUUGGCAGAACAACACAUAGUUCCAGAUAUUUCUUGAGCAUGGGUGAUCAACAGCCACAAGGCUAUCAUUGAUCACCGUCCAAUUGUUGAAAAGAAAGACUGUGGACACAUUGUGCAAAAAGGUUUUUGACGUUUAUGAUAGCUGGUGGGUGUUCAUGCACAGAUACCAAGAAACUUCAAUAAAAUUACAUAAACUAGGGUGCUGAAUGCAUCAAAACUGAGUUUCGUUAUAAAUUAAUGAGUAUGUGCAGCUAAAUUGAACCUAAAUCAUCAAAGUAUCUAUCUCCUGAAAAUAAAAUAAAAAAACAUGAGCCUCAUUCAUCUAUCCUCCAUGCUAAACAUCAAGUGAUUAAUCUAAAAGCCAUGACAGAUAAGCUACUAUAAGUGAUGUAGACCAUUAAAAUAUAAAAUUCAGAGUCCAACUUAUAAUAAGGACACAACUUCUGGAAGCACUGAAUAGCUGUGAUACCACAGUUUAGUCGAGAACAUUGGAAAUGGAAGGAGACUUAAGUUGUUUAUAUAGGGUUAGAUGGGCCUAUUAAUAUUGAUUUGGGUUUAUACAUCACAAGAUUUCAAGCCUAUUAAAUUAAUGGAUUAAUUCUCUCAUUAAAUAGGAUUGUGAUAAUUAGUAUCAAAGCGAACCUAGCACUUUGCAUGAUGGAAGAGCUCAUAGGAAAGAGGAAAGGGUAAUCCAUAAUAGUAGGCAUGGUUGGGUGCCCAAUUUAGAAAGAAUCAUUGAUAAAUAAGGUUGAGGGAACAUUCCAAUGUAAAGUCAUCUCUGGACUAGGACUCCAUAUGCUGUCGGUUAGGCAUGACUCUGGACUAUGAGUUGAGUCUUAGUUUCUUAGUCCUAUGAAGUGAGAGGAGAACUAGAUUUCUAGAAUUAGAUGGAUCUACAAUUGUUGACUAGGACUUUGGACUAUGUAGUUACAGACCUAAUAAGUAAAUGUUAAAUUAACAAGAACAAAAGUUUGUCUAAGUUUCAGAAAAUUAAAAAGGAACAGAAACCUCACAGAAAAAAGAAUUAAGAAGUAAUUAAGACAGUUUCUUUAGUUUUGUAAUAUUGAACAUUAACGAAGUCUUUCAAGUUCUGAUUAAACUGUGAAUAGUGGUAGCAGUAAAGGUGAUUACAACAUGUAGUCAUAAUUGAACUAUUACAAGGUUCACACUGAUGAUCUGGCUGGUUUGCAUUUGUUUGUAUAGAAAUUUAGGAUACUUGCAAAAUUUCUAACUCUUUCCAAGGAUCACAAAUCACAGGUAGCACAGUAACAACAAACCGAUGGUAUUCAUAUAAAUUUGGAAUAAUUCGUUUUCCUGCUAAACCUUUUUUUUUUCAAUUUUACAGCAUUAAAUGAAGGUGCUAAAGUUAGAGAUAAAGCUGAAGAUUUAAAUGUAAAGCUGGAGCAAAUUUAAAGCUGAAGCCAAUUGUGCUUUUUACCCUGAAAUAUUAAGCUUUGGUUAAUUGACUAUCUAAAGAGAAUCAAAGUAGCAAAAUGGCAGUAACAAGCAGUGUAAGAAAAGAAAACAAAAGAUUUAGUUUAUAAUAAAUAACCAAUAAAAAUGCACGUGACACCAACAUGUUUGCAUGCCACAAUAAACAGUAAACACCUCUAAUGUGGGAAAGGCAAAGCAAGACUGCAC
rnacentral:lncRNA from 1 species